AAAUAUUUAAUUUAAUUUACAAUAACAAGAGUGCCCCCGAAUAAACAAAAGUAAAGAGGACUGUGAACCUACGGUUUGGAAAAUGCAAAUCCCACUGUAGUCCUCGAUGAGAUCAGCUAUCUACAGUCUAUACUGAACCUGAAAUGGGUGGAAAUGAGGGUGGUGAGAUUAUAAAAUCGCAAUGAGUAAACAGUCAUCAUCAUAAACAUCUAGAGUUGAGUACAUGGAGAUAAUAAAGUAAAUCAUCAUAAACUGGGUUAUACAAUUAGAACACAUCUCAUUCAAAAUAUGUAAAAAGGCUUAUGAAUCUCAUAAAAAUCUAGGCUUGUGCCAUAAAUCCAUUCUCGGGGACACCUUGGCCGAGGCAUCCUACCGAGACCGCCAAGGCUAUUAAAAUUCACAUUUCACAUAAAUCAUGUUUUUGUUUUGAAAACAUAGCCGUUCCUUGGCGUUGGCUGAGUUCCCCCUCACGUGGUGGUUUAGCGUGAAGUGAACCCUAAACUUUACCCCAGGAGAUACCCUACGCGCCUCUCCGUUCGAGGUAAGAAUAUAAUGGGGUUUACCGUGCCCCUCUAAAAGGCUGGUCCACAGAAACCCCCUACUGCAGUGAUUAAUUAAUAUAUAAUCCACCAUAUAAUAAAACUCAAUAACAUGAUAUGGCAAUUUUGUAAUUCGUAGUUUUUCAAGGUAACCAAACAAUUCGCAUUUCAAUACAAUUGCCAACUAGCCAAUCAUGCUCGAUUUAUCAUAAGCCAGUUAAUUUAAACAAUCAAAUUGCCACAAUUAACAGUCUCCGUGUACUCUAUUUUUCAAAAUCACUAUUAAUUUCAAAACAAUUUAUAAUUUAAUUUCAUUGAAACUCAUUUAUUCAUAAAACAUGAAAAUUUAUCUUUUUAAAUUCCUUUUUCCAUAGAAUUCAUGAAAGCAUCUAAAAACCACCCUAGAUAAUUAAAAUGACAGUAAGUUUACUCACAAUGUCUAGAAUGCAGACUUUCGAAGCACUCUGUCUACUGGUCCUCGGAUGCAAUUUCCUUGCCUUUAUCGGAGGACUCACCACCUUGACACAGUACAAAAUCGAGAGUUUCACCAAGUUGGUACUAAAUCAAAAUUAAACUAAUUUAGACUACCAAUGCAUGAUAUGGAAUGCAAAAAUGCACUGGUAACUAUCUAAACCCGGUAUUGGCCUAAUUCGUCUUAUCACCCGAUUAAAUUCCUAACGGGUCCGUUUAAACUCCAAUUUAAUUCUUUUCAGUUUCUAUACCUCAAUUGCACCCAAAUUAACUUAAUGUCCCUCAGUGUGGUGCAAAUUAUCAGUCCCAACAGCAAAUUACGAAAAUACCCCUAGUGGGUAAAAAUUCGUAUUUUUGCUCCGAAAAUUCCCAUUAUUUUUCUAGGCUCAUAAUUCAUUAUUCCUUAACCAAUUCUCCUAGAAUAAAAUCAAACUCAUCCUCACUCACUACAUGGUAAAUUCAGCCAUUAAUGGUUGGGGGAGAAAAUAAAUUCUUUUCUUGUUGUUUUGUUUCUAAAUAUGCUAAACUAACUAAAAACACUAACAUAAAUUAAAAUCAAAUAAAUCCAACAACUUUCUCUCUCCUAACCCAUUUUUUCAGAAUUGAAUUCAUCAUGAAAACAUGUAAUUUAAUCAUGGAAAAUAAAGAGAAAUGCUUGGGAAUAAGAAAACUCAAGCUUAAUAGAAAAAUCUCACCUUUUUCACUUAAUUUCCUUGAAAAUUCACGCUUCUUCUUUGAUUUUCUCUCUCUAGGGUUUUGUUUUUAUUUUCUCUCUCUUCUUGCUGGUUUGGCCGGCCAUGGGGUGGAAGAUGAGCUGAUUUUUGUGCCU
rnacentral:lncRNA from 1 species